UACAGAGGGUGCGAGCGUUAAUCGGAAUUACUGGGCGUAAAGCGCACGUAGGCGGGUUGUUAAGUCAGGGGUGAAAUCCCGGAGCUCAACUCCGGAACUGCCUUUGAUACUGGCAACCUAGAGGCUGGAAGAGGUUAGUGGAAUUCCCAGUGUAGAGGUGAAAUUCGUAGAUAUUGGGAAGAACACCAGUGGCGAAGGCGGCUAACUGGUCCAGUACUGACGCUGAGGUGCGAAAGCGUGGGGAGCGAUCCGG
rnacentral:rRNA from 1 species